UUAGAAGCAAAACAAAACAAGCAAACAAACAAAAAAACCACACACACAAAUCAAAACAAUAAAAACUUUGCUACACAAAGCGUGCUUCCAAAAGAGGCAUAUGAUAUCACUGGGGACCUUGUUAGAAACUUGGAAUCUCAGAUCCCACCCCCGACAUACUGAACCAUAAUCUGCAUUUUAACAAGAUCCCCAGGUGACUGUUAGUGCAUUAAAAUUUGAGGAGAACUGACCUAAUAAUACACAAAGUUAUGAAGAAAAAUUUGAGUGCAACUAUAACUUAAAAACAAAACUCUAACAAAGAAACCAUAAACAAAGCUAAAAGACAAGAAAUAGACCCAGAGGCUGGUCUGAUGGUAAUGGGUUAUUCAGAACUUAUUAAUAUUACUGUUACUCAAGUUGGUAUGCAACUCUCCCACUGCUAAAUUUGGCUUAAAAAAAAAAGAAAAGAAAGAAACCCAAAGAAAGUAUCCACAAUACGGUAAACUGACAAAUUACUUAAAUCCAGAAUAUACAAAGAGUUCCUACACAUCAUAAGGAAAAGAACCACAAAUGUAAC
rnacentral:antisense_RNA from 1 species